AUGCCUACGGGCCAAAGAGGGGGACCUUCGGGCCUCUCGCGUCAGGAUAUGCCUAGGUGGGAUUAGCUAGUUGGUGAGGUAAGGGCUCACCAAGGCGACGAUCCCUAGCUGGUCUGAGAGGAUGAUCAGCCACACUGGAACUGAGACACGGUCCAGACUCCUACGGGAGGCAGCAGUGGGGAAUAUUGCACAAUGGGCGCAAGCCUGAUGCAGCCAUGCCGCGUGUGUGAAGAAGGCCUUCGGGUUGUAAAGCACUUUCAGUCGUGAGGAAGGUAGUGUAGUUAAUAGCUGCAUUAUUUGACGUUAGCGACAGAAGAAGCACCGGCUAACUCCGUGCCAGCAGCCGCGGUAAUACGGAGGGUGCGAGCGUUAAUCGGAAUUACUGGGCGUAAAGCGCAUGCAGGUGGUUUGUUAAGUCAGAUGUGAAAGCCCGGGGCUCAACCUCGGAAUUGCAUUUGAAACUGGCAGACUAGAGUACUGUAGAGGGGGGUAGAAUUUCAGGUGUAGCGGUGAAAUGCGUAGAGAUCUGAAGGAAUACCGGUGGCGAAGGCGGCCCCCUGGACAGAUACUGACACUCAGAUGCGAAAGCGUGGGGAGCAAACAGGAUUAGAUACCCUGGUAGUCCACGCCGUAAACGAUGUCUACUUGGAGGUUGUGGCCUUGAGCCGUGGCUUUCGGAGCUAACGCGUUAAGUAGACCGCCUGGGGAGUACGGUCGCAAGAUUAAAACUCAAAUGAAUUGACGGGGGCCCGCACAAGCGGUGGAGCAUGUGGUUUAAUUCGAUGCAACGCGAAGAACCUUACCUACUCUUGACAUCCAGAGAACUUUCCAGAGAUGGAUUGGUGCCUUCGGGAACUCUGAGACAGGUGCUGCAUGGCUGUCGUCAGCUCGUGUUGUGAAAUGUUGGGUUAAGUCCCGCAACGAGCGCAACCCUUAUCCUUGUUUGCCAGCGAGUAAUGUCGGGAACUCCAGGGAGACUGCCGGUGAUAAACCGGAGGAAGGUGGGGACGACGUCAAGUCAUCAUGGCCCUUACGAGUAGGGCUACACACGUGCUACAAUGGCGCAUACAGAGGGCAGCCAACUUGCGAAAGUGAGCGAAUCCCAAAAAGUGCGUCGUAGUCCGGAUUGGAGUCUGCAACUCGACUCCAUGAAGUCGGAAUCGCUAGUAAUCGUGGAUCAGAAUGCCACGGUGAAUACGUUCCCGGGCCUUGUACACACCGCCCGUCACACCAUGGGAGUGGGCUGCAAAAGAAGUAGGUAGUUUAACCUUCGGGGGG
rnacentral:rRNA from 1 species